rnacentral:ncRNA from 1 species
ACAAUGAAGAGUUUGAUCCUGGCUCAGGAUGAACGCUAGCUACAGGCUUAACACAUGCAAGUCGAGGGGCAGCAUCAUCAAAGCUUGCUUUGAUGGAUGGCGACCGGCGCACGGGUGAGUAACACGUAUCCAACCUGCCGACAACACUGGGAUAGCCUUUCGAAAGAAAGAUUAAUACCGGAUGGCAUAAUUAUUCCGCAUGGGAUAAUUAUUAAAGAAUUUCGGUUGUCGAUGGGGAUGCGUUCCAUUAGGCAGUUGGCGGGGUAACGGCCCACCAAACCAACGAUGGAUAGGGGUUCUGAGAGGAAGGUCCCCCACAUUGG